AGAAGCUCGGAUGUCGCGGGAGGCGGACCCCAGCUGUCUGAUUCCCGCGAGGCCCUAGGAGACUUAGGUCUCGGCCUGAGGCUAGGGCGUUAAGCUUCUUAUCAAACGUCUGCAAAAUGGGCGGGAGGCUGCAGCUAUUACUUGCCAGGGUGGUUCUGUAAUCAAAUACAGUGAAAAUAACGCCUGCAAGCAGUGGCUCAAAGAGACCCCUGACACCUUGUUGAACAUCCUUCAGAAUGCUGAUCUCAGCCUGGCGUUUCAGACCUACACACUUUAUAGAAUGAAAAAUGUCGGCUGUUUAUUGUCAUGGAAUAUUGUGAUGGAGGGGAUCUCAUGAGAAGGAUCAGCAGACAGUGGGGAGUGUUACUUAGUGAAGAUCAGGUAAAAUCGUUUCUAAUUUGCCGUUUAAUCUAUAUGUGGAGAGGAAGGAUUACAUUUAAAAUGUCAUAAGUUUGUAUGAAACAUGAACGAGUGGAUCAAUAUUCUUGGUAAAUUCAGGAGCUUGGCAGCCGCGGCGUCUGACCCGAGUCCUCGGCGCGGAGCGAGUGGCGGCGGCGUGGGCCUGGCGCCCAGCAGCUGGCGGACAGGUUCUGUGAAUGAACUGGGGGAAUGACAAACACCAGCAGAUUUGUACCCUGCAUGCGCUUGAUGAGAUUUGAGAUGACAACCUGCAACUGCCAAGGCAAGGACUUUUAAAAUUUGUUUUAACUUUUAAAAAAGUUUCAAAAAAGAUUUAUUUAUUUGAAAGGCAGUGUUAUAGAGAGAGGGACACACACACACACACACACACACACACACUUACUAUUUUCCAUUUGCUGGUUCACUCUCCGAAUAGCCACAAUGGCCAGGGCUGUUUCAGGUUGAAACCAGGAGCUUUAUCCCAGCCUCCCACAUAGAUGGCAGGGACUCAGGCACCUGGGCCAUCAUCUUCUGCUUUCCAAGACACAUUAGCAGGGAACUGGAUAAGAAAUAGAGUGGCAGGGAGUUCAACUGGCAUCCAUAUAGGAUGCUGGUGUUUCAGGCAGUAGCUUAACCCACUAUGCCAUAAUGCUGGCCCUUAGACAGACUUUAAUCAGUUAUUUUAAAUGAGUGCAAAGAACAAAAAGAAAGGAUAUCUAAAGUGUUAAGGAAUAGUGUGAGUGUGGGAGACCUAGAAGAAGCUCUUGGCUCCUGGCUUUUGGAUCAGUCCAGUUCCAUUCGUUGCGGCCAUUUAGGGAGUGAACCAAUGGAUGGAAGACCUCUCUCUAUAUAUCACUGCCUCUCCCUCUUUUUGUCUGUAACUCUGCCUCUCAAAUAAAUAAAUAAGUCUUUUUAAAAAAAAGAAUAGUGUGAGAACAAUGUCUCUUCAUAUAGUGAGUGUUUUUUUUAAAAGAUUUAUUUAUUUGAAAGGCAGAGUUACAGAGAUGCAGAGGCAGGUUCACAUUUUAAAUAUAAGUAUAUGGGACAUUUUGAAUGACUGUUUAAGUUAUAAGGUGUGUGUCAAGUUUCAAGGUUUUCUAAAUACAUAUAUUUUUAAAAAUAUUUAUUUAUUUGAAAGUCAGAGUUACAGAGAAGGAGAGGCAGAGAGAGAGAGGUCUUCCAUCUGCUGAUUCACUCCCCAAUUGGCUGUGCCAAUCCGAAGCCAGGGGCCAGGAGCUUCUUCCAGGUCUUCCACAUGAGUGCAGGGGCCCAAGGACUUGAGCCAACUUCUUUUUUUAAAAGAUUUAUUUUAUUUAUUUGAAAGACAGAGUUACAGAGAGAGGUAGAGACACAGAGAGAGGUCUUCCAUCCACUGGUUCCCUCCCCAAAUGGCUGCAACGGCCAGAGCUGCGCCAAUCCAAAGCCAGGAGCCAGGAGCUUCUUCCAGGUCUCCCAUGUGGAUGCAGGGGCCCAAAGACUUGGGCCAUCUUCCACUGCUAUCCCAGGCCAUAGCAGAGAGCUGGAUCAGAAGAGGAGCAGCCAGCACUUCAGGCCAGGGCUUUAACCUGUUUCACCAUAGCACUGGCCCCUAUACAUUGAGUAUUAAGAAAGAGAUUGUGGGGAGCAACUGGGAGCAACUUGGACUAGACUAAGUUACUGGAAUUAAGACUUAUUCUAUGCAUCUGCUCUCCCACAAUAUGGCGCUGGGAGAGGAGGAAACAGCUUCUACCCAGCUGCCUCUCACCAACUUGACAAGCUGCAGGACCUGCUCCUGAUUGGAGGAGAGCAGCGUACUCGGCGUGUGGGUAGCAGAGUUGGGAUUGGUGAAGAGGACUAUAAAGGAGGAGAGAGACAACAUGCACCAGGAACAUCUAAGAGGAACACCUGUGCAGCCCCCGAGAGAGCCGGCCGGCGGUGUGCCGCUCCCCCGCGGAAGUGGGGGAAGUGGCUAGGGGGAACCGCCCUUCCACGGAGGUGGAAGGGACGGUAGCCAACCCGGGAAGAACCAGCAGCAAACCCGGGGAGGGCUGAGCAGACAAAAGAACAGCGCAGGGUCCUGUGUUGUUCCUCCACGAAGAGGGAGAGCGACAGAGAUAGAGGGUAGAAAUUAUUAAAAAAAAAAAAAAAAGAACAAGAUAAAACAAGUACAGUUCAAAAAUGUAGUCAGUGUUGUUGUAUACCAUUUAAGGCACUACCUGUAAGGUUGGCAUCCCAUAUGAAUAUUUGUUGAGUCCCAGCUGCUCCAUUUCUGAUCCAGCUUCCCUAAUGGAGGUCUUGGGAAAGUAAUAGAAGAUGGUGCAAGUAUUUGUGACCCUACCACUCAGGCGGGGGACUCACAUGGAUUUCCAGGCUCCUGGCUUUGGCCUGGCCCAGCCCUGACUAUUGUGCCCAUUAGGGGAGUGAACUAGCAGUUGGAAGAUUUCUCUAUGUAACUGCCUUUCAAAUAAAUGAUUAGCUCUUUAAUAAAAAAUCCCCACAUUACCUGAAAUUAAAAUUUACAUAUUUAUAGCAUACACUUAUAGCACAUUUAAAAUAUGUUGUUGAUAUAUACAUAUCAUAUUUGAGUAGACAGAAGAAAGAAUUAUCUUACUUGAAAAUAAGUCAAUUGAUAUUUAGGCUGAGGAACAGAAAGAUAAAAGAAAGCAAACAAAGGAACAUAACUUCAGAGACUUGUGGAACACCAUCAAACACAUCAACAUGUACAUAAUGGUGGUACCAGGAGAAGAGGAAAGAGAGAAAGAGGCAAAACAAAUGAAGAAAUAGGGGAUGGAGCUGUGGUAUAGCAGGUUAAGCCACCAUCUGCAGUGCCAGCAUCCCAUAUAGGCACCAGUUUGAGUCCUGGUUGCUCCACUUGCAAUCCAGCUCCCUGCUAAUAGCCUGAGCAGAGGAUGGCUCAGGUCCUUGUGCCGCUGAACCCACAUGAGAGACCCAGAAGCAGCUUCUGGCUCCUGGCUUUGGCUUGGUCCAGUUCUGGUCAUUGCACCCAUUUGUGGAAUAAACCAGUGGAUGGAAGAUAUUCUCUCUCUCUCUCUCCCUCUCCCUCUCCCUCCCCUCUUCUUCUCUCUCUUUGUAAAUCUGACUUUCAAACAAAUAAAUAAGUCUUCAAAAAAAAAAAA